CAACAACACAUGAAAGUAUCUGAACCACAGAUCCCUACCCUCUACCCUGAACAUUGACCUGAAAAAUCAGGCAUCUUGACAUGACACCUUAAGAAGCAUCAUGUUUUGCUAUGUGAGAAAGUGGAUAACAACACAAGAAUAACAGAUGUUGAUUGCUUGUUGCAGUUAAAUCAUUUGCAUGUACAAGUACAUCAGCAGUCCUCAUUACCAGGCAGAGAAAUUAUGAAUAUUCAUUGCAAUCAACUUGAAACUGCAAAACUCAAGAAAACUGCUAAACUGACACCAAGUCCAGAGCAACUUCUGAGAGGCAUAUAUAUCUUUCAGCGGGGCCAAGGGUGGUGGGUGGCGCGUAGGUUCCACGGCAGCCGAUCGCCUAUGAUAGGCGAUCGCUUCCGCUUGGAUAAUCCCAACUGUCUUAAUGCGCGAAAUGCUGCCGAAAUUUUCAAAAAAAGUUUUGUUAUCAUUUAUUGGAUUGUAUGUGUUGUUUGAAAUACAUGACGCUACAAAAGAGUUGUAGUACAAU